rnacentral:rRNA from 1 species
AUUGAACGCUGGCGGCAGGCCUAACACAUGCAAGUCGAGCGGAUGAGGGGAGCUUGCUCCUGGAUUCAGCGGCGGACGGGUGAGUAAUGCCUAGGAAUCUGCCUGGUAGUGGGGGAUAACGUCCGGAAACGGGCGCUAAUAUCGCAUACGUCCUGAGGGAGAAAGUGGGGGAUCUUCGGACCUCACGCUAUCAGAUGAGCCUAGGUCGGAUUAGCUAGUUGGUGGGGUAAAGGCCUACCAAGGCGACGAUCCGUAACUGGUCUGAGAGGAUGAUCGGUCACACUGGAACUGAGACACGGUCCAGACUCCUACGGGAGGCAGCAGUGGGGAAUAUUGGACAAUGGGCGAAAGCCUGAUCCAGCCAUGCCGCGUGUGUGAAGAAGGUCUUCGGAUUGUAAAGCACUUUAAGUUGGGAGGAAGGGCAGUAAGUUAAUACCUUGCUGUUUUGACGUUACCAACAGAAUAAGCACCGGCUAACUUCGUG